GGUAUAUGCUUAGAGUAGGAAGAUCCUGAAGAAAUGGCUCCUUGGUUUAAAGCACACCCAACAGGUUCAUUGUGACAAGGGGACAAAAAACCCAUGGUCAUCCUAUGAACAAAUACCCAACACCU
ensembl:snoRNA